rnacentral:rRNA from 1 species
UACGUAGGGUGCAAGCGUUGUCCGGAAUUAUUGGGCGUAAAGAGCUCGUAGGCGGUUCGUCGCGUCGGCUGUGAAAACCUGAGGCUCAACCUCAGGCCUGCAGUCGAUACGGGCGGACUUGAGUACUGCAGGGGAGACUGGAAUUCCUGGUGUAGCGGUGAAAUGCGCAGAUAUCAGGAGGAACACCGAUGGCGAAGGGCAGGUCUCUGGGCCGAUACUGACGUGAGGAGCGAAAGCGUGGGGAGCGAACGG